rnacentral:tRNA from 1 species
GGGCGAUUGGCUCAGUUGGUUAGAGCGAUGCUUUCACACGGCAUAGGUCACUGGUUCGAAUCCGGUAUCGCCCA